GACGAACGCUGGCGGCGUGCUUAACACAUGCAAGUCGAGCGGUAAGGCCCUUUCGGGGGUACGACGAGCGGCGAACGGGUGAGUAACACGUGGGUGACCUGCCCUCAGCUCUGGGAUAAGCCUGGGAAACCGGGUCUAAUACCGGAUAUGACUCCAUGACGCAUGUUGUGGGGUGGAAAGCCUUGUGCGGCUGAGGAUGGGCCCGCGGCCUAUCAGCUUGUUGGUGGGGUGAUGGCCUACCAAGGCGACGACGGGUAGCCGGCCUGAGAGGGCGACCGGCCACACUGGGACUGAGACACGGCCCAGACUCCUACGGGAGGCAGCAGUGGGGAAUAUUGGACAAUGGGCGCAAGCCUGAUCCAGCGAUGCCGCGUGUGUGAAGAAGGCCUGCGGGUUGUAAAGCACUUUC
rnacentral:rRNA from 1 species